CACCAGGGGAAGGCAGCUAAGAAGCACCUGCUCCUGGCUUCUCACCCUCAGGCCCCCUGAAGAAAAUACCAGAGAAGGACUUCAACAAUUGCAGCAGGUGAGCGUCUGGUACUUUACAGCCCACUGAAGCCUCAGAACCACGCUAGGACGCAAGCUGUAUUAGGAUGCUGUUUUACAGAGGUGAAAACCACGGCCUCGGCCACUGACUUGUCCGAGUCCCACAGCUUGUGACCGGCAGCAGGAGGGCUCAGGCCCCGAGCCUGUGCUUAUGGUGGCUUGGCUCCUAAGGGCCCAGGGAUCAGAGGACAGAGAGAGCAGUACCGGCAUGGGGAGCAGCGUCCUAGAGGGAGGUCCUGGGCGGGGCUCUGCAGGCCGAGGAGAACUCGGGCAGCCGGUGCUGGUGGAAGUGGUAGCGGGAGCCCUGUCCCCCGUGGGGCGGGAUCCUGGGUGUGCCCUGCCUGGAAGUCACCCCAUUUGCCUUGCGCCUGCUGGGCAAGCUCUGCGAGGGCUUGGCUGAGCCUCUCAUCCCCUCCGUGGGGCACCCCACCCAGGCCCCAGGCAGGUGCUUUGUGAGAGCUUAUUGCCACUCGACCCUUCUGUUGCCAGACCUCUCAGCAAUCACGUGUGCCCUCCUACAGACCAGGAAACCGAGGCUCAGAGUAGGGCAGGCCACACAGGUUCAUCUGCAUCUUUACUCUCCUCCCCUCUCCUCCGUGAGCCGGGGAUCACGUCUCCCUCCCCCGGCUCUCAGCACCUGCAACAGACCCCGGCAGGCGAAGACGGAGGGGAGUGGGCAACGCAGAGCAUCUCGCCCGUGGUGGUCUCACCGGGCAGGAACGGAGCAAAGAAGGGCAGCUUCUCCGUGGCUCCCAGAGCCCCAGACGUGGAAACUUAAGACCAUCUUUCGGACUCAAGGAGUCCAAGUCCCCCCUUUACGGAUGAAGAAAACGAGGGCCCCAAAAAGGAUGAGCCCCAUCCAGGGCACCAUCCAGGUAAGGGACAGACCAGAAACCAGCAGAGCCAGUCCGGAGGACCUGAGGUUGGCACGCCACAUGAACGAAGGCCAGCAGGCUGAAGAGAGCUGAGGCUGGAGAGGGGGCUGGGGCUGGGCCAGGCAAGGAGUCUGGACUCGAGGCCAGAGCGAUGGGAAGUCGUUGGACUGGAAAGGUCUAUGAACCACCUGGCUUCGGUUCUUACAGGACCCAUCUGGCGGCCGGGGACUGACUGGCCUGCAGGAGGGCGGGUGGGACAGGAACAGGGACACCCAGGAAGGGGAGCUGACCCUGUGACCCCCUGCUGACUCGACCUCACCGCUCAGAGGGCUGAGGGUCCCUCAGUGGGCGUGUCUUAGCCUGAGCUCCUGAGUUCCACCCCCAAAUCCGCCCCUCCCACUGCCUUCCCAUCUCGAGAAACACAAACUCCAUUCUUCCCCUUGCUCAGGCCAAAAACCUCGGGGUGCCCCAUCCCCGCUUUCUUUCACCCCUGCACCUGAUCCCACAGCAAGUCCCUUUGGUUCCGCCUUCAAAAUAUAACGGGAAUAUAACCACUUCUCUGCUGCUGCCCCCCCCCGCCCCUCCCCCCAGCCUCCCCCCCCAGGUCACCAGGGCGGCUGCACAGGCCUCUGCCUGCCCCCAACCUUGCCCCACACUGUUCCCUCCAUUAGGUGGCCGGGCGGCGGAGGGAGGAGGGAACUGCUAAAAAAAGUUGGAGCACGUCCCUCGGUCUCCAAAGCCUCUGGUGGCUCCCCACCUCCCUCAGAGGGAAGCCCUGACCUUGGCCUCUGAGGCGCCCACGCCCUGGCCCCCAGGCCCUGCCUGGCCCUCUCUCCCGCCGCCGUCUCACCCUCAUCCUGUGCCAUCUCACCCUCAUCCUGUGCCGCAGCCCACCCUCUUCCUUGCUGUGUUAGUCUUCAUGCCUCAAGCCAUUUGCACGGCCGCACUGUCUGCCUGGAAUGCCCUCCGCAGACGUCUGCCGUGCCGGCUCUGGCACCUCCUUUAUGUCAUCAGGUGGCACCUUCUCAGGAGGCCUCCGUGACCACCCCACCUAAAACGCAUCCUGUCAAAUCAGCCUCCUCACCUGCCCACUAGCCUGCUUCGUGAAUGGAGGUUAGAACUGAAGCUCUCUGGGCCUCAUCCGUCAAAAAGGACGACGACCCACGCUGGGGCAGGCUUACGGCAAAGUUUUGCGGAUUCGCCAUCACCGCCCAGCUGUGUGGCUGGGGCAGGAGAAUCAACCUCUCUGGGCUGUGGUUUCCACAUCUGCAAAGUGGAAGUGAUAACAUCGCUCCCCGCCUAGACUCACGGGGAUGGCUCAGAGGCCCCUUCCCUCUGUCUUCCCUAAGACAUUGCUCCAGCGUCUCCUCUCUUAGAACUCGUCAGCAUUUCCCCCUCUACCGGAUCAACCCUCACGAUACAUGGCCUGCUGGCUUUUCUCUCAUCGUCUGAGCCUCCACCCCCUCCCCUGCCGUCCCUUUUCUCUCCACCCGCACAGGAGCUCCUUCAGAGUGUGUCUGAGCUCGCUGGCCCCCUCCUCCCUUGAACCCGCGCCCCUCAGGUCUUCAGCUCCCCCUCCCAGGAAACCCAGGACCUCCUCCUUGCUAAACCCCAAGCCAUCCUUCUAGACAUCAUCCUUGACCCACAGCAGCGUUCCACAUGGUUACCUCUCCCUGCUCCUUCAAUGCCUUCCUUGCCGCUGUCAGAACCUUCCAGUUUGCCUCCUACUUCCCCGGCUGCCCCUUCUCAGACCCUCUUCUGCUUCUCCCACCCCUUGCCCCCACCUCUCAGGGUUGGGGACCUCGGGCUCAGUCCCUCGUUGUCUGUUUCUUUCCAUCUACCUUCCUCCCUGGCUGACUAUAAAGACGCUUACUCUGCGGGCGCCCCCCGCGCUGAUAUCGCAGCCUGGACAUCUCCCCUGAGCCCCAAAGCUGCAUCCGCCUUCCUCCUCCACAGCUCCGCCCUGCCUCUCUGGUUUACUUUAUUCCAGUCUGAUCUCCUGAUAUUUGCACAUUGACCCGGUCCAGCCUCAACCUUCCUCAUCCCAGCGAAUGGCAACCCCAUUCUUCCCACGGCCACAGCUAAGCACUAGCUGCCGUGCUGAACACCCUCCCUCGGACUCUGUCUGUCUGUCUCUGAGUCUCCCCCAAUCUCUCUCAUCCCACGUGGGAUUCAUCAGCAGGUCCUACCGGUUCUAACUUCUAAAUUCACCUCUGUUUCCAGCACGCCCCACUAUCCCCUCAGCCUCCCCCUGGACAAGCUUCCAUCAUCUCUUGCCUGGCUCUUCACCCCAGCUGCUUCCUGUCCUCCCGGCUUCUGCCCCUGCUGCCUGCUGUCUAUUCUCCACGCGGCAGCCAGAGGGACCCCACUCCAAGGAGAGUCAGCAUAGCCUCCUGUGCUCACUCCCCUGCAGUGGCCCCGUCGCUCAGAGAAGCCCCAGUCCUUAUAAAGACCGUCGAGGCCCUGUAUCCCCCGCAUCCCGGCAGCCUCUCCCCUCCCCGCCGCCCCUCCCCAGGUUCACCCCGCUCCCCCUCCUGCCUCCAGGCAGUUGCUUCCUGGGAUGUUCUCCCCCGAGCAGCAUACACACAGGUACAAGCCUGCUUCUGGGGAGACCUUCCUGGCACCCCAUCCACAAUUCCAACCUGCCACCUGACAUUCCCUUCCGCUUCCCCGCCCGCUGUCCCCCUAGCACUGACGACAAUCUCAUGUGCCUUAUGUUGGGUGGGAGGGCCCCGGCUCUGUUUCUGGUAUGUGCGGCCCUAUUCCAUCCUGGCCUCACUGUUCUCCCAGGGGUCUUUCUGCACCUCUCACUGUCUCUCUGCCUCCUGUCUGUCCUCUCGCCCCACUCAGAGCCGCUCUAUUCUCCUCAAUGGACACCAAAAGGGUUUUUAAAAGCCUGGGUCUAAUCAUGUCAUCCACCCCUAAAGCCAUUCACCGGCUGCCCAUGGCCCUCAGCACAACGUCCCGUUCCCUCCAUGCGUGGGAGACCCCUGAAGACCAGCCCCAGCCCCACCUCAGCCCCUCCUGCCCCUCCCUGGGCCCACAGGAGGCUCCUCUUGGGGAGGGGUCACCAACGGCCACCGCACAUCCAGGCCACAGGCCCUGGGCCGGUGGACCUGUUUCCCAAGGGCCUUGGUGUGCGGGCCUCAUGCAAGAAGCUCCAAAUCCUCCAAGCACCCACUGAGAAAGCAACGCUGGAUUUCUACUAAGCACCUACUAUGUGCUGGGUGCCAAGAAUGGAGCAAUAAUGAAGACGUGUUAUGGCCUCCUCCUUGCUGGCUGGAGGCACAUUUGAGGGCAGGAGGAAAAACACCUCCUGGGGCCUCUGCCGUGACACCCUUCCCACAGAGCCCCUCACUCGGCCUCUCCGCUUCUCAGGGCCCUGUUCCAGGGUCACCGUCUCUGCGAGGCCCCCCAGUAUCCCUCCCCUCCCUGCUCCCCUUGUCUCCGUCUGGCUCACCCACCAGCACGUGCCCUCUGGGAAGGGCAGCCAGGGCUCCCCGCUCUGUCCUCGGUUCCAUCCCCAGCACCGAGGACAGAGCCAGGCAGAGCAAGUGGCGUUGGACGGAGGCUCGCAGUCCAUCCCCCUAUGGUGCCGAAAGCACCAUAAAGAGAUGCAGAUAAUGGGGAGGCUCCCUUCCGGCCUGACUGGGGUGGUCCCGGAGGGCUCUCUGAAGAGGUGGCAUCGAGCAGAGAGUCAAGGUCAUGAAAACGGAGCGGGAGGACAGCUGUUCCAGGUGGAGGAAGCGGUAAGCUGCACAGGCCCUGAGACGGGGCUGAGCUCAGGCGUUAUAACACCGCAGGCAGCGGGUGGGGCGGAGGACGCAUCCUCUGAGCCUUUUCCAGGAGGGUCGACUGCAGCUCAGGGAAGCUGAGGCCACAAAACAAGGAAGUAGCAGAGGCGAGCCUGGACUCCAGCCUGCGGGAUGUGGGCUCCGUCCCCAGGCGGUGCCCCUCCCUGCCGUUCUUUGGGGUUCACCGUGUUCUGCUCAUGAAUAGCUGGCCCAGGUGGGGCCCUGCUGGGUCAGGAGCCUCCAGGUCUCGUCUCAGCUCAGUGGCCUCCAGGGCAAAGCCCAGUGAGUCAGCGGGUGAGCGAGGGGCCCCCUGGGGAGUGGCCCGAGCCAGGGUCCCCUGCCCCCUGUUGAGCUGAGCCAUCGCCAUUCAGAGAGGCCCAGCUGGCUGACCAGCUUGGACCGGAGACUCAGCCAGCCGAGGUCUUAGAGACCAUGCAGAAGUUGGACAGGCGGCCCCUGCUCAGAACCUGUCCGGGGCGGGCAGGCCCACGGGGCGCUGAGGGACCGUCUGCGACUAGGACUCCUACUUUCUCCCUCCCCUCGCCUCUGUGCUCAUGCCCUGCCCCACUCGCUUCCUUGCUGCUCCCAGACAGCCACAGGCCAGGCUCCCCAGUUCCCCAAAGGGCUUUUGUCCUUGCCGUCCCUGCCAGGGCCUCUCCUCCCCCAACGCUGCUCGGCUGACUCCUGCUCAGCCUCAGGCCUCAGCUCAAAUGUCACCUCCUCAGAGGCCUUCUCUGAUCACCUGCCUAGAGCAGGUCAGCCCCACCACCUCUUACUCUCCAUCAGAGGGCACUUUUAGGUCUUUCAUGGCACUUAACACAAAUGACAGUCAGCCUGUGUGUUGUUUACCUAUCUAUUGUCAGUGUCCCCAUCUCUACGUUGGGAUGUGAGCCCCCCAUGUAUCUUGUUCCCUGGAGCCUCCUCAGGGCCUGGCACACAGUGGAUGAUCAGUAAAUAUUUCUGAAUGAGGGCAUGAGAGCCUACCCUCCUCACUGUACAGAGGCAGGAAUUGAGGUUCAGAGAGGGUGAGUCACUCACCCAAGGUUACACAGCAAACCAGAGGCAGAACCAAGGCAGGAGCCCAACUGAGCUCACCUGACUGUGUCCAGUGCUCUUCAGCCUGCACCAUAACCAGCACUCAGGGCUCAGCCGGUCCUUCCCCAGCCUUUCAGAUAGGAUCACUUUCCCCAUCACUGUCUUCCAGUUCUGGGGAGAAGGAAGAAGUGGGGAGAAAAGGUGGAAAGGGGCAAAGAGGGGAGAGUGUGGGUCAGAGAUGAAGGGGUCCUCUGAAGUUAGCUAGUCCCACCUGGUGGGCUCCAGCGAGGUUGGGGGCCUGGCCUGGGGCCUCUGGGCCCACAGUCCAUCGUGCCCUUGCCUGCCUGAGCCGGAAGGGGUUAAUGUUGUGCUUGGCUCCUGGCCGCCGUGGACCGUGGCUGGGACAGAACAUCUGUCUGUUGCUAUGGUUGCCGUACACUUGAAGGGGAUGGCUGGAUAAUUAUGGCAAACGCUGCCGAGUGAGUGAGCGGUGCCCAGAAGUGGCUCAGGACCCUUGCCCGCCCAGUGCAGUGUCGGGCCACAGGCCCCUCACCUGGCUGGUUCCCUGUGAGCCCUGUCCCUGGGCCUCAGCUCCUGGGCCAGCAGGAGCCACCUCAGCCUUUGCACAAUGAGUGGGCUGGCACAGGGCUUCCGGGAAGCCUGGAGCAGGGCGGACACUGGCAGCCUGGGGCAUGGGAGCCUGAGGGUAGUGGGCCGGCUGGCACAGGUGGUAGGCUCUGAUAUUGUCCCCGUGCCUCUGUGUCCUCUCCCUUGGGAGAAGCCCAAUCAUCCGUCCCUGCCUCCAUGGGUGCCCUGGAGCCUGAGUCCUGGCCUCUCUGCUCUGCCCGUUCCCUGGGCUUCAGUGCCCUCACUUGCCCACAGAGGAUAGGUGUGCCACCCUGGCAGAGCGGAGGGAGCUCUACAGGGAGAGGCUCGGGCAGAGGGCUCUGGGGCAGGAAAUGGUUGCCCGCCCGGGCUCAUCAGGCAGCCGCAGCUUCAUGUCCUGCAAGUGUGGGCCGUGGAAGGGCUGGAGGUUGCUCAGCACAGCGGCUGGGCACAUGGCUUGUCCUUGGCUCCAGCCCCUGCCCAGCCCAGCUGUGGGCAGGACAGACAGGCUUGCACCAGAGGGUCACCUCUCACUCCCCCUCCCAACGCCCCCCAAGGCCCAGAGCUCAGCUUCCUGAAGGCUCUGAGCAGACUCACUGACCACAGACCGGGAGGCCUGAAAGCCACAGCUUCAAGUCCCCUGCAGCGCCCGAGACAGAGCCGGGCGCCCUCCCAAGGGCACCAACAGGCUCCCGGCUAGCCCUAUGCCACUGGCCCCUCCUCUCAGCAACUUCUCUCUUCUCACCAUCCUCCCCCGCCCGACCCCCUACCCCGUCUGCCUGCUUCUUUCACGUAACAAUCACC
ensembl:lncRNA